CCUACGGGAGGCAGCAGUGGGGAAUAUUGGGCAAUGGGCGCAAGCCUGACCCAGCAACGCCGCGUGAAGGAAGAAGGCCCUCGGGCUGUAAACUUCUUUUGUCAGGGACGAAGCAAGUGACGGUACCUGACGAAUAAGCCACGGCUAACUACGUGCCAGCAGCCGCGGUAAUACGUAGGUGGCAAGCGUUAUCCGGAUUUACUGGGUGUAAAGGGCGUGUAGGCGGGAUUGCAAGUCAGAUGUGAAAUUCCAGGGCUCAACCCUGGACCUGCAUUUGAAACUGUAGUGCGUGAGUUAUGGAGAGGCAGGCGGAAUUCCGAGUGUAGCGGUGAAAUGCGUAGAUAUAAGGAGGAACACCAGUGGCGAAGGCGGCCUGCUGGACAGUAACUGACGCUGAGGCGCGAAAGCGUGGGGAGCAAACAGGAUUAGAUACCCGGGUAGUC
rnacentral:rRNA from 1 species